rnacentral:rRNA from 1 species
ACGAACGCUGGCGGCAUGCCUAAUACAUGCAAGUCGAACGAGAUCUUCGGAUCUAGUGGCGCACGGGUGCGUGACGCGUGGGAAUCUACCCCUGGGUUCGGAAUAACUUCGGGAAACUGAAGCUAAUACCGGAUGAUGUCGAAAGACCAAAGAUUUAUCGCCCAGGGAUGAGCCCGCGUAGGAUUAGCUAGUUGGUGGGGUAAAGGCUCACCAAGGAAACGAUCCUUAGCUGGUCUGAGAGGAUGAUCAGCCACACUGGGACUGAGACACGGCCCAGACUCCUACGGGAGGCAGCAGUAGGGAAUAUUGGGCAAUGGGGGCAACCCUGAUCCAGCCAUGCCGCGUGAGUGAUGAAGGCCUUAGGGUUGUAAAGCUCUUUUACCCGAGAUGAUAAUGACAGUAUCGGGAGAAGAAGCUCCGGCUAACUCCGU